UCCCGAGUCCCGAUCCAAUCUCCUCCGACUAGCGUCUAGCGCGCGUUCCCCCCUCUCUCGCGCUCUCUGUAUCUGUCUCUGCCGCUCGAGGCUCGACCCCAAGCUAGGGUUUGGAGCUGUUUGCACCACCCGCCGGCAGGCCCGCAAGACCCGUCUCCGCCGCUUGCACCGUCGCGCACCGUUGCAGCCCCUGUAUCCGCUGCCCUGGCCGCCUCCGCAGUUCCCAGCGCCGCCACCAUAGUCCCCCAUCUCCGCCGCCCUGCGUCGCCGUCCGCAGGCCCCGUCCCUGCCGUCACGGCCACCAUCGGAGCCCCAGCUCCGACGGCUUGCGCCGCUGCCAAAGCUCCUGGCUCCACCGCCAUGGGAGGGAAAAUGUCAAGGAGACGAGGGAAGGGAUGGGCGCGAUGUCGAGGCGGGUGCUGCCCUCCUGCAGGGCCCUCUGCUACUUCUGCCCUACCUUUGGACCUUAUCCUUUCAACCCUUUAAGAGGUACAAGAAGAUCAUCUCCAAGAUCUACCAGUUGCCACCGGUACUGCCAAUCCUGCCCGUUAGCAUUUGAAAAUGGGUGUUUUUGUUCAAAUGUGUGGGAGUUUGCUAAUUGGGAAACUCUGCCAUUAUGCCUCAAGAAGUCCAACAUGUACACAUACCAACUGUAACACACUCCAUAUCCUCCCUCUUUUUCCUACUGUCAUCUAAUAGUUAUUGCUGGAUUUGCUCAAGACUGAAUCAAGUCAGUGGAAGAAACUGAAUUCAGUAAUGCAAAGUAUUUGUUCUCCAAAGGGGAUUUUCUGAUCAGUGAUGGACAAAGUAGUCGCUUUAUUGUUACUUUUAUACUGAUCAGUGAUCUUCAAUGUUUUUGUCUGAUGGGCACCACUCUUGGUAGUGUUUCGUACAUGUAUUUAGUAAUCACCAGUCACCACAGUGUUCUACUCCUUUUUUGUUUAACAGCUAGGUGGAUGAAUGAACAAACUAGGUAAGACCAGAAUUUAACUUCACUCCUGUGUUUUGAACAGAUAACAGAGUAUCUUGAGCAGAGAUGCUAUAAAGAACUGAGACAUGAGAAUUUCACCUUAGCCAAAGUUGUACUAUGCAUCUAACUCAAUGUCCUGGGUUGUUUGAUGCUUGUCGACUUCCUCAAAGGACCGUAGUAAGAUCAUCAGUUGCUUACACAGUCCACCGGUCCUGUCGCAUGAGUUUUAUUAUUGCAGAUAUAUGCUUUUAUACCAUGAGUUUUAUUAUUGUAGAUACUUGACGUUAAUAAACUCAACAUUAUAUUGGUGCAGGCAAGCUGUACUGCUUUUUGAUGGUCAACCCAAUUCCUUUCCAAUCUGCUUUUCAAUGUGAAGGAUGAUCAGUGGCUAAUUAGGUUCCGGCGAAUGUAGUAGGAAUUAGCAAUGCAUGGAUGCUUCUGCACAUAGAAAGGGAAAAUAGGCAGGAGGUAGAAUGUACCGUUUAUGGAAUAUUUGACGUGCAGAUCGUAGUGAUGUGCUCAAUUCCUUGAUCUAUACUUGUAUUGUAUGCCUAUGAACUGUAAUCAAACUGUCUCUUUAUAUAUAGUUCCUACUGCUCAA